GAUGAACGCUAGCGGCAGGCCUAAUACAUGCAAGUCGAACGAGAUUAAGAGGCUUGCUUCUUAUGAAAGUGGCGCACGGGUGCGUAACGCGUAUGCAACCUACCUUAAUCAGGGGGAUAGCCCGAAGAAAUUCGGAUUAAGACCGCAUAAAAACACAGGAUAGCAUUAUCCAAUGUUCAAAUAUUUAUAGGAUUAAGAUGGGCAUGCGUGUCAUUAGCUAGUUGGCGGGGUAACGGCCCACCAAGGCGACGAUGACUAGGGGAUCUGAGAGGAUGACCCCCCACACGGGUACUGAGACACGGACCGGACUCCUACGGGAGGCAGCAGUAAGGAAUAUUGGUCAAUGGAGGGAACUCUGAACCAGCCAUGCCGCGUGCAGGAAGACAGCCCUCUGGGUCGUAAACUGCUUUUAUUCGGGAAUAAACCUUUCUACGUGUAGGAAGCUGAAUGUACCGAAGGAAUAAGGAUCGGCUAACUCCGUG
rnacentral:rRNA from 1 species